rnacentral:rRNA from 1 species
GAUGAACGCUGGCGGCGUGCCUAAUACAUGCAAGUCGAGCGAACGGACGAGAAGCUUGCUUCUCUGAUGUUAGCGGCGGACGGGUGAGUAACACGUGGAUAACCUACCUAUAAGACUGGGAUAACUUCGGGAAACCGGAGCUAAUACCGGAUAAUAUUUUGAACCGCAUGGUUCAAAAGUGAAAGACGGUCUUGCUGUCACUUAUAGAUGGAUCCGCGCUGCAUUAGCUAGUUGGUAAGGUAACGGCUUACCAAGGCAACGAUGCAUAGCCGACCUGAGAGGGUGAUCGGCCACACUGGAACUGAGACACGGUCCAGACUCCUACGGGAGGCAGCAGUAGGGAAUCUUCCGCAAUGGGCGAAAGCCUGACGGAGCAACGCCGCGUGAGUGAUGAAGGUCUUCGGAUCGUAAAACUCUGUUAUUAGGGAAGAACAUAUGUGUAAGUAACUGUGCACAUCUUGACGGUACCUAAUCAGAAAGCCACGGCUAACUACGUGCCAGCAGCCGCGGUAAUACGUAGGUGGCAAGCGUUAUCCGGAAUUAUUGGGCGUAAAGCGCGCGUAGGCGGUUUUUUAAGUCUGAUGUGAAAGCCCACGGCUCAACCGUGGAGGGUCAUUGGAAACUGGAAAACUUGAGUGCAGAAGAGGAAAGUGGAAUUCCAUGUGUAGCGGUGAAAUGCGCAGAGAUAUGGAGGAACACCAGUGGCGAAGGCGACUUUCUGGUCUGUAACUGACGCUGAUGUGCGAAAGCGUGGGGAUCAAACAGGAUUAGAUACCCUGGUAGUCCACGCCGUAAACGAUGAGUGCUAAGUGUUAGGGGGUUUCCGCCCCUUAGUGCUGCAGCUAACGCAUUAAGCACUCCGCCUGGGAGUACGACCGCAAGGUUGAAACUCAAAGGAAUUGACGGGGACCCGCACAAGCGGUGGAGCAUGUGGUUUAAUUCGAAGCAACGCGAAGAACCUUACCAAAUCUUGACAUCCUUUGACAACUCUAGAGAUAGAGCCUUCCCCUUCGGGGGACAAAGUGACAGGUGGUGCAUGGUUGUCGUCAGCUCGUGUCGUGAGAUGUUGGGUUAAGUCCCGCAACGAGCGCAACCCUUAAGCUUAGUUGCCAUCAUUAAGUUGGGCACUCUAAGUUGACUGCCGGUGACAAACCGGAGGAAGGUGGGGAUGACGUCAAAUCAUCAUGCCCCUUAUGAUUUGGGCUACACACGUGCUACAAUGGACAAUACAAAGGGCAGCGAAACCGCGAGGUCAAGCAAAUCCCAUAAAGUUGUUCUCAGUUCGGAUUGUAGUCUGCAACUCGACUACAUGAAGCUGGAAUCGCUAGUAAUCGUAGAUCAGCAUGCUACGGUGAAUACGUUCCCGGGUCU